rnacentral:tRNA from 1 species
GUGGGUAUAGCUCAGUGGUAGAGUGCAUGCUUAGCAUGCACAAGGGCCUGGGUUCAAUUCCCAGUACCUCCA